rnacentral:rRNA from 1 species
UACGAAGGGGGGCUAGCGUUGUUCGGAAUUACUGGGCGUAAAGGGCGCGUAGGCGGUGUGUCAAGUCAGGCGUGAAAGCCCCCGGGCUCAACCUGGGAACCGCGUUUGAAACUACAAGGCUAGAGUGUGACAGAGGGGGGUGGAAUUCCACGUGUAGCAGUGAAAUGCGUAGAGAUGUGGAGGAACACCGAUGGCGAAGGCAGCCCCCUGGGUUAACACUGACGCUCAGGCACGAAAGCGUGGGGAGCAAACAGG